rnacentral:rRNA from 1 species
GACGAACGCUGGCGGCGUGCUUAACACAUGCAAGUCGAGCGGUAAGGCCUUUCGGGGUACACGAGCGGCGAACGGGUGAGUAACACGUGGGUGAUCUGCCCUGCACUUCGGGAUAAGCCUGGGAAACUGGGUCUAAUACCGGAUAUGACCUCCUAUCGCAUGGUGGGUGGGGGGAAGAUUUAUUGGUGCGGGAUGGGCCCGCGGCCUAUCAGCUUGUUGGUGGGGUAGUGGCCUACCAAGGCGACGACGGGUAGCCGACCUGAGAGGGUGACCGGCCACACUGGGACUGAGACACGGCCCAGACUCCUACGGGAGGCAGCAGUGGGGAAUAUUGCACAAUGGGCGAAAGCCUGAUGCAGCGACGCCGCGUGAGGGAUGACGGCCUUCGGGUUGUAAACCUCUUUCAGCAGGGACGAAGCGCAAGUGACGGUACCUGCAGAAGAAGCACCGGCUAACUACGUG